rnacentral:rRNA from 1 species
AAUCAACGCUGGCGGCGUGCCUCAGACAUGCAAGUCGAACGAUUAAAGGCUCCCUUCGGGGAGUGCAUAGAGUGGCGCACGGGUGAGUAACACGUAAGUAAUCUACCUUCGAGUGGGGAAUAACGUCCGGAAACGGACGCUAAUACCGCAUAAUGCAGCGGCAUCGCAAGAUGACAGUUGUUAAAGAUUUAUCGCUUGAAGAGGAGCUUGCGGCAGAUUAGCUAGUUGGUAAGGUAAUGGCUUACCAAGGCUACGAUCUGUAACCGGUCUAAGAGGACGGUCGGUCACACUGACACUGAAUAACGGGUCAGACUCCUACGGGAGGCAGCAGUCGGGAAUUUGGGCAAUGGGGGAACCCUGACCCAGCAACGCCGCGUGAAGGAU